rnacentral:tRNA from 1 species
GCCGAAAAAGCUCAGUUGGGAGAGCGUUAGACUGAAGAUAUAAGGUCCCUGGUUCGAUCCCGGGUUUCGGCA